GGAUUUUAAUUGGUCGUAGUAAAAGAGCCCCAAAACCGCGCCCUCUGCUGCCGACUGAGCGUCACCGCAGCCGUCCACUUCCACAUGCUUCACUUCCAGGUCCUGAAGCAGCCUGCAGCCAACUGCAAGCACAGCAACACAUUUCACGGGUCUGAUAUGUUUGCAUUCUCGGCUCCACACACGCCAGUGCACUUCUUGUCUAACCCGACUACAGCCACACACGGGAAGUCCUGGCAGAUCCAGAGCAGAGACGGUGGGUUCCUCUGGCAUCUUGACUUCUGGUUUGGGCAGUUUGAAUCGGCUCAUUGCAACGACAGCGCACACCACUAAGAAGCUCAACAUGCCCAGCGAACCGAACACGGCUGGGGACAGAAAAAGUCACAGCAAAUAGCAAAGAUCCACACCUCUUGGUCUUCCCUCCCUGAAACAAGCCGUAGUAAAUAUGCCCGAUGAACUGCUCCAUCUCCGGGCUGGAGGCGUUCACGAUCUCCGCUCCAGUUUUACACAAGAUCGUGCCGGUGACCCACCGCUCCGUGGACAGGGCCACCACCAGAAGAGCCACGGAUCCGAUGCAGAGCAACGAGGCCAGCGAGAAUGUAAACCGUUUCCACAGUGAAGGCAUGUUAAGAGCCCAUGUUGACCCGGGAGAGGUGACACCACGCCGGGCAGCGACUCCGGAUCAACCCUGGCACAAAUCAUCAGCUAAAUAGUCAGAGUAAAAGAGGAGAAUUGAGCAUAACCGUGGACUUGUGCAAGCCCCGUCUUGGUCGUGUUUCCUGCUCUGGCGUGUCAGACACUAGGAGGAGAAACUGAAUCCACGGUGUCAGGGAGCUGUAGAAACCCUAUCCGAGUCCUGCUGUCACCCUCUCCCCUUUAUUAUUGACUGCAGGCAUAAACAGCGUGGCCUUUGCCGCCGCAGAAGCCUCUAAUUGGUGACAUCAAGUCUGGUUUAGCAAUAAAAACCCCUCAAUGAAGUAAAUAGAGUUGUCAGAGUGAAAGAUGGGCGCCAUUGCAAUUGUAAAGGUCAACACAGGACCUAGUGCUCGAUUGCUAGUUGACGUUAACAUAUUCAGUGAGAGAUAGAGUUGAUCCUGAUGGGCCAACAGCCCCACACAAAUCGGAGGUUGUCACUUAGUCAAGUGAUCGCUUAUAUGGCUUCUGUUUUAAGCAUUUAUAUAUUUAUUAGGGCUGGGA